UCCUGACGGUAGUCGUAUGCUCGUCUCCGAGACUAAGCCAUGCAAGUCCAAGUACACGUCCUUGAACGACGGAAACUGCGAACGGCUCAUUAAAUCAGUUGCGAUCUACUCGGCGUUCCGCGCCGCCGGAUAACCGUAGUAAUUCUAGGGCUAAUACGUGCGAAGCGCCCGAAGCCGCGAGGCGACGGGCGUUCUCGCCGGAUGUAGGAACCGACCCGGGGACCGCCGGGGCAACCCGGCGCCCCCGAGACGGGGCGAACCACGGUGAAAUGACGGAUCGUCGGCCCCGCGCCGGCGACUCGCCGAAUGAGUUUCUGACCUAUCAACUCGAGACGGCGGGGUAGAGGCCCGCCGCGGUAACGACGGGUAACGGGGAAUCAGGGUUCGAUUCCGGAGAGGGGAGCCCCGAGAAACGGCUACCACUUCCAAGGAAGGCAGCAGGCGCGCAACUUACCCUAAUCUCGAUUCGAGGAG
rnacentral:rRNA from 1 species